CCUACGGGAGGCAGCAGUGGGGGAUAUUGCACAAUGGGGGGAACCCUGAUGCAGCGACGCCGCGUGGGUGAAGAAGCGCCUCGGCGCGUAAAGCCCUGUCAGCAGGGAAGAAAAUGACGGUACCUGAAGAAGAAGCACCGGCUAACUACGAGCCAGCAGCCGCGGUAAUACGUAGGGGGCAAGCGUUAUCCGGAUUAACUGGGUGUUAAGGGGGCGCAGACGGCGAUGCAAGCCAGGAGUGAAAGCCCGGGGCCCAACCCCGGGACUGCGCUUGGAACUGGGUGGCUGGAGAGCAGGAGGGGCAGGCGGAAUGCGUGGUGUAGCGGUGAAAUGCGUAGAUAUUAGGAGGAACACCGGUGGCGAAGGCGGCCUGCUGGACUGCAACUGACGUUGAGGCCCGAAAGCGUGGGGAGCAAACAGGAUUAGAUACCCCUGUAGUC
rnacentral:rRNA from 1 species